ensembl:lncRNA
CCUCUAGUCGUGACUCUUGAUGGAGAUCUACUUAUUUCCAAGGCAUUUAUGAAUAGAGGAGAGAACGCAAAAAAAACAAAAACAAAAACAAAAAAAAACCUUGCAGAUUUGUCCUGAAGUGAAGUGUCAAAUUCAAUGUAUGUUGAACUGUCUUUUUAGGAACACAAAGAAGAUGAAGCAACCAGCAAAAGAAACUCUAGUCCUUCAGAUGCUGAGUAUUACAAGGAAAAAAUUUUGACUACAAGCAUUUUGUUACCUUGUUUUCACUGAAGUUCAGAGGAAGGUUUUGGAGCAUUUUAAAUAGGAAUUGUUUAGACCAUCUUCUAUCAACCUGUUGUCAUGGAGUGCAAGCAACAUAUUUUCUUCCAAGACAAAGGCAAAAGGAAGGAUGCUCGAGAAUCAGGAUUUUGUUUUGCCUAAGGAACCUAUGGAGGAGGAAGUGGAAGCAAGAACAGAGAGAGGCAAGCAGACUCGCCACAGUUCAAAAGCCUUUGAUCAUCUGUUCAACAUUCUAUUUAACAACAUUCAACAUAUCAUAGAAUCAUAGAAUGGCCUGGGUUGAAGAGGACAACAGUGAUCAUCUAGUUUCAACCCCCCUGCUUUGUGUAGGCUAGCCAACUGCCCAGAGUCACAUCCAGCCUGGCCUUGAAUGCCUCCAGGGAUGGGGCAAAUGUUUCACUUGCAUUUGUUGCAUACAAUAGUGCUUAGUUUUGACAGCUAUCACAAUAUUUCUUGUGGACUAAAGUCAGAUUGGAAUUAACGUACCAAAUAAUCAAGUACAUUCAUACUUACUAUCUCUAACGUUUUCAGAAUAACAAAUAAUAUUAUGUUUCCAGACCAGUUAUUCCAAAUGUGAGAACAAUAUUACCUAAUAACUAAACAUCAUAUAUCUUUGCUACCUGAUUUUUGCAAAAGCAUUCAGGCAUGACAACAACAAUGCACAUAGACAAGUUCAGUAGACAAAUUAGCAGCUGAUAAUGAAAAUAUUUUUGAGAACUUUUUUAUCUAGAAGCUCAUAUGCUGGUAGGUGAAAAGAACACUAUUUCUACUACUUGUUUUUCUCAAAGAAUUUUUAAUUUUGUAAUAGAAAAUGAGUAAAUUGUUUAGAAUUUCAGCAAACAGAUUUGACAAAACUAGUGAGCGCAACAGAUAUUAAAUGUUCUAGAAUUUUAUAGCAAUUAAGAUUAUAUGGGGAAGAAUCCAACUGAGGUACUAUGUUAACUAUACCUACUAAAUUAUAUAAACAUUGUUACGUUUUAGGUAGACUCAAGGAAUAUUUAAAACUUAAAAAAAAAAAAAAAUAGAGAGAGAGAGAGAGAAUAUUAUUUUUGUGUUUCUUUCCCAGACUAAUAAGAAACAUGACUUAGAGUGUAUAACAAAGACAGUUUUUUUUCUAUAUAUAUUUGUUCUCAUUUCCAAUUCCCACACAGACAUAAAACUCAAAAAACACAUUAUAAGCUGUUCUGUGAUCAACAUUUCAGCUAUGCCAAACUUGAGUGAUAUAUCUUUACUAGAACUUUCUUGAUGUCUGAUCAUUUUAACUAUUAAGUUUCCUUUUGUCAUGCAGCUGUAAUACUGGAAUAUUCAUGAUGGUAAAUU